GGCUGGGUGGUGUAGUUGGUUAUCACGUUUGUCUAACACGUCAUUGUGUGCACAAAAGGUCCCGAGUUCAAGUCUCGGCCGAGUCA